rnacentral:rRNA from 1 species
UAGGGAAUAUUGCACAAUGAGCGAAAGCUUGAUGCAGCAACGCCGCGUGCGCGAUGACGGCCUUCGGGUUGUAAAGCGCUUUUCGGGGAGAUGAGGAAGGACAGUAUCCCCGGAAUAAGUCUCGGCUAACUACGUGCCAGCAGCCGCGGUAACACGUAGGAGGCAAGCGUUAUCCGAAUUUACUGGGCGUAAAGCGCGUGCAGGCGGUUCGGUAAGUUGGAUGUGAAACCUCCCGGCUCAACUGGGAGGGGACGUUCAAUACUGUCGGACUUGAGGACGAUAGAGGGAGGUGGAAUUCCCGGUGUAGUGGUGAAAUGCGUAGAUAUCGGGAGGAACACCAGUGGCGAAAGCGGCUUCCUGGCCCAUUUCUGACGCUCAGACGCGAAAGCUAGGGUAGCAAACGG